UACGUAGGGGGCAAGCGUUGUCCGGAAUUAUUGGGCGUAAAGCGCGCGCAGGCGGCUGUUUAAGUCUGGUGUAUAAACCUGGGGCUCAACUCCGGGUCGCACUGGAAACUGGAUAGCUUGAGUGCAGAAGAGGAGAGUGGAAUUCCACGUGUAGCGGUGAAAUGCGUAGAUAUGUGGAGGAACACCAGUGGCGAAGGCGACUCUCUGGGCUGUAACUGACGCUGAGGCGCGAAAGCGUGGGGAGCAAACAGG
rnacentral:rRNA from 1 species